GAGUGGUCUCGGUUGGAGAUGGUAUUGCACGUGUUUAUGGAUUGAACGAGAUUCAAGCUGGGGAGAUGGUGAACAGUUGGGAGUACAAACUCUGAAACCUAAUGAAAAUCUUGGAACAUAUUGAACUGAAUAUGAAACAGAUUACACGCCAACCAGCCACUGCUGGCAACUAAAAGAACUACAACCGGUAGCAAAAUCAAAGAAUAGGGACUGCGACUGAUCUUUCAGAGUAGUUGGUGCAUGCUAAGGCAAGAAUUUCACUUCCUCAGAAUCCCGA